GAGUUUGAUCGUGGCUCAGAUUGAACGCUGGCGGCAUGCUUUACACAUGCAAGUCGAACGGUAACAGGGAGCUUGCUCCGCUGACGAGUGGCGAACGGGUGAGUAAUAUAUCGGAACGUACCCAAGAGUGGGGGAUAACGUAGCGAAAGUUACGCUAAUACCGCAUACGAUCUAUGGAUGAAAGCAGGGGACCUUCGGGCCUUGUGCUCCUGGAGCGGCCGAUAUCUGAUUAGCUAGUUGGUGAGGUAAAGGCUCACCAAGGCGACGAUCAGUAGCUGGUCUGAGAGGACGACCAGCCACACUGGAACUGAGACACGGUCCAGACUCCUACGGGAGGCAGCAGUGGGGAAUUUUGGACAAUGGGCGCAAGCCUGAUCCAGCAAUGCCGCGUGAGUGAAGAAGGCCUUCGGUUGUAAGACUCUUUGUCUAGGGAAGAAACGGUUAGUGGCGUAAUA
rnacentral:rRNA from 1 species